CGGGGUGCAGCAGGCGCGAAAACUUUACAAUGCGGGAAACCGUGAUAAGGGGACACCGAGUGCCAGCAUCAUAUGCUGGCUGUCCGGGUGUGUAAAAUACACCCGUUAGCAAGGGCCGGGCAAGACCGGUGCCAGCCGCCGCGGUAAUACCGGCGGCCCGAGUGGUGAUCGUGAUUAUUGGGUCUAAAGGGUCCGUAGCCGGUUUGGUCAGUCCUCCGGGAAAUCUGACGGCUCAACCGUUAGGCUUUCGGGGGAUACUGCCAGGCUUGGAACCGGGAGAGGUAAGAGGUACUACAGGGGUAGGAGUGAAAUCUUGUAAUCCCUGUGAGACCACCUGUGGCGAAGGCGUCUUACCAGAACGGGUUCGACGGUGAGGGACGAAAGCUGGGGGCACGAACCGGAUUAGAUACCCGGGUAGUCCCAGCCGUAAACGAUGCUCGCUAGGUGUCAGGCAUGGCGCGACCGUGUCUGGUGCCGCAGGGAAGCCGUGAAGCGAGCCACCUGGGAAGUACGGCCGCAAGGCUGAAACUUAAAGGAAUUG
rnacentral:rRNA from 1 species